rnacentral:rRNA from 1 species
UACGGAGGGUGCAAGCAUUAAUCGGAAUUAUUGGGCGUAAAGGGCGCGUAGGCGGAUUUGUAAGUCAGAUGUGAAAUUCCAAGACUCAAUUUUGGAGCUGCAUUUGAAACUGUAAAUCUUUAGAGGGUAGACGGAGAAAACGGAAUUCCACAUGUAGCGGUGAAAUGCGUGGAUAUGUGGAAGAACACCGGUGGCGAAAGCGGUUUUCUAGUUUAUACCUGACGCUGAUGCGCGAGAGCAAGGGGAGCAAACAGG